rnacentral:rRNA from 1 species
UACGUAGGUGGCGAGCGUUGUCCGGAUUUACUGGGCGUAAAGAGCGCGCAGGCGGUCGUUCAAGUCGCGUGUGAAAGCCCCCGGCUCAACUGGGGAGGGUCACGCGAUACUGAUCGACUCGAAGGCAGGAGAGGGUAGUGGAAUUCCCGGUGUAGUGGUGAAAUUCGUAGAUAUUCGCAAGAACACCAGUGGCGAAGGCGGCUCACUGGCCCGGUACUGACGCUGAGGUGCGAAAGCGUGGGGAGCAAACAGG